rnacentral:rRNA from 1 species
UGUAUCAUUAAUGAUGCAAGCUCGACUAUGUUGAAUAAAAGUUCUAGGUAGAAUUAUGAUAAUGACAUUGUCUGCCUAUGUGUCUUGACCAAAUUACGUGCCAGCAGUCGCGGUAAUACGUAGAAGACUAGUGUUAUUCAUGUUUAAUCGGUUUAAAGGGUACCUAGACGGUGAAUCAAGCUUUUAAAUAAAUAAGAAAAGGGACUAAUUCGCUAGAGUUACUUACGAGGGGGUUUUAAAGUACUGCUGGUGUAGAGAUGAAAUUCUGUCAUACCUCUUUUCGAAAGAAGAAUAACGGCACAGGUAUAGGCGAAGGCAUCCCCUUAUGUGAUAACUGACGUUGAGGGACGAAGGCUUCGUGGAACAAACAGGAUUAGGUACCCUAGUAGUUGAAGCAGAAAAUGAUGAAUGUCAUAGAUUAGACGUCUAAGUUUAUUCUAUAAAUGAAAGUGUAAGCAUUCCACCUCAGGAGUAAUUUGGCAACAUUGGAAUUGAAAUCAUUAGACCGUUUCUGAAACCAGUAGUGAAGUAUGUUGUUUAAUUUGAUAAUCCGCAAAAAACCUUACCACAAUUUGAAUAUUUAUACCGAACAUAUAUCUACAAGCGUUGCACGGCUGUCUUCAGUUAAUGUCGCGAGACUCUGGUUAGUUCCAUUAAAUUAAGGUAAACCC